UGAAUGGGCCAUUUCACGCMMCGGGGGUCGCCACCGGUGAUGCCCCCGUAACGAUGUCAAAUUGCGGGGAUCGAUGGGCGUUCCGCCCCGUCGAACCUGCAGCCAGCGGACGCUGGUUCAACGACUAAAUCGCAACGGCCGACGUUUCCGUCCGGCUGAGACAUAGUCUGACCCCCCGGAGCGAUCCGGCGGGCUCCGCUGCAUUAAAUCAGUUAUCGUUUAUUUGAUAGUACCUACCUUACAUGGAUAACCGKGGUAAUUCUAGAGCUAAUACAUGCUAAAAACCUCRACUUCGGAAGGGGUGUAUUUAUUARAUAAAAAACCAAUGCCCUCCGGGGCUCCUUGGUGAUUCAUAAUAACUCAACGAAUCGCAUGGCCUUGCGCCGGCGAUGGUUCAUUCAAAUUUCUGCCCUAUCAAYUUUCGAUUGUAGGAUAGKGGCCUACAAUGGUGGCAACGGGUAACGGGRAAUUAGGUACGUCGUCCGCCGUCGAUCCGGGCGCACACCAGCUAACCGAUCGCUUUUAGGGUUCUAUUCCGGAGAGGGAGCCUGAGAAACGGCUACCACAUCCAAGGAAGGCAGCAGGCGCGCAAAUUACCCAAUCCCGACACGGGGAGGUAGUGACAAUAAAUAUUGAUGCGGAGCUCUUUAGGGUUUCGCAAUUGAAAUGAGUACAAUUUAAAUCCCUUGACGCGUUGGGGGAUUGACCGAGUCCCCCGGGUCUGCCGCACGGCGCCCCGGGGGGCAACGCCCUCUCUUUUCGAGGACCGGUGUCCGCGCAAGCGCCCGGGAUUCGAAGCCCGUGCUCGGGUCCAGAGACUACACAAGGUGGACGGCCCGCGCCGUUGAUGAUAUAGCCCAACCCUCSGGCCCGAUGCCGGAGUCUCGGUGUAACGAGAACAUUGGAGGGCAAGUCUG
rnacentral:rRNA from 1 species